rnacentral:rRNA from 1 species
UACACGCGAGUCGAGCGGACAGAUGGGAGCUUGCUCCCUGAUGUUAGCGGCGGACGGGUGAGUAACACGUGGGUAACCUGCCUGUAAGACUGGGAUAACUCCGGGAAACCGGGGCUAAUACCGGAUGGUUGUUUGAACCGCAUGGUUCAGACAUAAAAGGUGGCUUCGGCUACCACUUACAGAUGGACCCGCGGCGCAUUAGCUAGUUGGUGAGGUAACGGCUCACCAAGGCGACGAUGCGUAGCCGACCUGAGAGGGUGAUCGGCCACACUGGGACUGAGCACACGGCCCAGUAGCUCCUACGGGAGGCAUGCACGUACGCGUGUAAUCUUCCGCAAUGGCACGAAAGUCUGACGGAGCAACGCCGCGUGAGUGAUGAAGGUUUUCGGAUCGUAAAGCUCUGUUGUUAGGGAAGAACAAGUGCCGUUCAAAUAGGGCGGCACCUUGACGGUACCUAACCAGAAAGCCACGGCUAACUACGUGCCAGCAGCCGCGGUAAUACGUAGGUGGCGAAGCGUUGUCCGGAAUUAUUGGGCGUAAAGGGCUCGCAGGCGGUUUCUUAAGUCUGAUGUGAAAGCCCCCGGCUCAACCGGGGAGGGUCAUUGGAAACUGGGGAACUUGAGUGCAGAAGAGGAGAGUGGAAUUCCACGUGUAGCGGUGAAAUGCGUAGAGAUGUGGAGGAACACCAGUGGCGAAGGCGACUCUCUGGUCUGUACUGACGCUGAGGAGCG